rfam:Felis catus isolate Cinnamon breed Abyssinian chromosome B4, whole genome shotgun sequence.
GCCUGGGUGGCUCAGUCGGUUGAGCGUCUGGCUUUGGCUCAGGUCAUGGUCUCACAGUCUGUGAGUUCGAGCCCCGCGUCGGGCC